rnacentral:tRNA from 1 species
GCCUGGAUGGCCCAGUGGUUGAGCGUCUGUCUUUGGCUCAGAUCCUGAUCCCAGGGUCCUGGGAUCAAGUCCCACAUCAGGCU